rnacentral:rRNA from 1 species
CAGCAGCCGCGGUAAUACGAGGGGUGCAAGCGUUAUUCGGAUUGAUUGGGUGUAAAGGGUGUGCAGACGGCUUAUUAAGUCACUUGUUAAAUUCUUCGGCCUAACUGAAGGUCUGCAAGUGAUACUGAUGAGCUAGAGGGUGGAAGAGAGAAGUAGAAUUCUCGGAGUAGCGGUAAAAUGCGUAGAUCUCGAGAGGAACACCAAUGGCGAAGGCAGCUUCUUGGUCCAUUCCUGACGUUCAUACACGAAAGCGUGGGGAGCAAACAGGAUUAGAUACCCCCGUAGUCCCUGUCUCUUAUAC